rnacentral:rRNA from 2 species
UACGGGGGGUGCAAGCGUUGUUCGGAAUCAUUGGGCGUAAAGCGCGUGUAGGCGGCCGGAUAUGUCAGAUGUGAAAGUCCCGGGCUCAACUCGGGAAGUGCAUUUGAAACUGUUCGGCUAGAGUUAGGGAGAGGAAAGUGGAAUUCCUGGUGUAGAGGUGAAAUUCGCAGAUAUCAGGAGGAACACCGGUGGCGAAGGCGGCUUUCUGGCCCUCUACUGACGCUGAGACGCGAAAGCGUGGGGAGCAAAC